GGCAUUGUGCCAGUGUCAAACCAUAACACCAGGUGAGCACACAGCACAGCCUGCUGUCCCCAAAUUGUCACCCUGUGUCCCCAAGUGAGCACACAGCACAGCCUUCUCCCCGAAUUGUCACCCCUCUGUCCCCAGCACCCUGAGCUGGGCUGGCCUUGGGAAUGAGUGUGGCUAAAAGAGGUGACAAAAUGCAAAAAAAGCACAGUAAUAAUGCCAGUCGUUCCAGGAAAUGGGGUUUUGGAGGGAGGGUCAGCCCACAGCAGAGACAAUGUCACCUGGUGCCAAAACUGUCACCCUGCUGUCCCCAGGUGAGCACACAGCACAGCCUGCUGUCCCCAAAUUGCCACCCCGCUGUCCAGGAAUUCCCCAAAUUCCCAUGAGCUCAGGAAGGACCUGAAGGAUGGAGUGACCUGGGAUUGGGCAGGGGAUGGAGAGGCCACGCAGGGUCCCUGUGCCACAUUUUGGGGACAGAGGUGACACCCGGGAUCAUCCCAGUGCAGCACUUUGGGGUUUUCACCCUCUCCAAACCCUUUAUUUUAUGCUGAGUGGUUGAAUUUCCCCUGAUAAAUCCAGGUGGGAUGGAAAUCUCAUUUUUUCCAUCCCAUUUUCCCAUCCUGGAUUAGCUGAAUGGAAAGACCUGGACACAUCCCACUGAAGCUCCGAGGAAUCCCAGGGAUCCUGAACCCCAAUCCUCAGCCCCCCAAAGGGAUCAGAACCUGCAGCAUGGGGUGCCCCCAGUGUGGGGUCCCACAAAUAUUCCACCAGGGCACCACUGAGAAAAGGAAUUUCUAAGGAUCUGCUGGAGCUGAACCACCUGGAAUUCCUGGUCACAAAAAGCCAAUUCUGUUCCUGUCAGGAUUCCUGGGUGAAUAUUUCCCAGGGAUUCCCAGGUUCUCCCUCCUUUUCUGGAGCUGAAUUUGGGAUGGGUGGAUCCGCCCAGGAGCUGUGACACAUCCCUGAGCUGCAGCAGCACAAUCCCAACACAAACACAUUCCCACACAUCCCAGUGAUGUGUUCCUAUCCUGGGGAUUCCCAGGCUGCUGUGGGAUCCCAGACAGGCUCCUGAUCUUUCAUUCUCUGUGUGAGUAAUGCACUUCCCUGCUCCUCACCCCAAACGCUCUUUCAUCCUCCCCCCGGAUUUAUUCCCUUUUAUCCCGGCUCUGCCAGGAUGACAAACACGGCCCCAAAUGCCAAAGGAAAUGAGGCAAAGGCGGAUGCAGCAGGGAGAUCCGAGAUAACAGCAGCUCCCACAUCCAGUCUACCCCAAAACCAGGGAAUUGGUCCCAAAUCUCCUCCCAGGAGCUGCUCCUCAGGGAGUGGGUGCAGGAAUUUGGGGAGAAAUCCAGAGUGGCAGCUGUGGAUCCCUGGGUUCCUCACUGGAGCUGAAUCUUUGCCAAGUUCCAAAUGAAUGAAGAAUAAAUGAAUUUAGGGAAACUGAGGAUUGGGAUGGUUUUAUCCCAAAGCCCUGGGAGGUUACAAGAUAUGAAACAUCCAACCAGGAUCCUCCAGUCCAGCUGUGCACGGAUCACACCUGGAUCCAUGGUGGAUUUAACUCCUGGAUUUAAUCUGUCACCAGGACAAAUCUAUGUACUCCCCAUCCCAAAAAUGUUCCAUCAUCAGCAUUGUGGAUAUCCCCAAAUAUCCCCAAAUCCCACGGAGAACACCCCAAUCAGUGCCUCUGGCAGCUCCUCCUGCAGAGCCCUCCUGGAAUUCUCCAAAUGGGAUCCCAGCAGCUCUGGGAUCAGGAUGUCACAGUGGGAAGAGGGGAAAAUCCCUGGAAGUGACUUUUGCAGCCAUCUGUGACCCAGGAGCUGUCCUGGGUGGCCACAGCAGGAAAAGAUCCCACCAGCCUGGACUUCUCCCUGUGCUGUCUCUGCCUCCAGCCUCCAACUGGAAUAUCCCCAAAAAUAAAACCAAACAACCAUCUCGAGGUGCAGCUGGCAGAAAGGAAGGAGCGCUGACCAUCCCUUUGGAGCUGAGGGGAAGGAGGCAGCAGAUUUCCAGGCCACACGAGGUUCAGCUGUGGAGUUUCUAAACCAAAAUUCCAGGUUUGCAGCUGGAAAACAGCUCCAGGAAAAGCCAGCUGGAAAAGAGGGAUGCACAUCCCACUGAGGGCUUGAUCCAGGUGGUUCUGAGCAGGACAGGCUGGGAGCUCAUCCUGAGGGGGGAAUUUUGGAGGCGGGAUUUCCUUCUUCACCACACUUCCCAAAUAUCUGUGCCCAUCACACAAACUAGUUCAGUCACUCCAUAAAUCUCCCAAAAAACCCUCCUUUUUCCCAUCUGAAAUCACCAUCCCAGCAGCUCCUCCCAGGAACACCAGCAAGGCCCAGUGGCUGCUCCCUGAGCCAGCCCCAUCCAUUCCCACUUCGGGCUGACACGUGGGAUUCUCCCCAACAAAACCUGGAACGGCUCCGAGCUCUAAUCCCAGCACUAAUUCCAAGGGAAGGUCUCACAGUGCUCAGCUCCAAGAGGUUUUGUAAACAAAGCCACCAAACAAAAGCCUCCCAAAGCUCGGCAUUAAUGGAAAAGUUAUUGGGCUGCUUUUCCCCCCCGCUUUAUUUCUUUUCACACAGCAAUAAAAGAAAUCUCCUGAAAAAUCUCCCCCUGCGGCGUUCACAGCCCAAACAAGUGAGGCUGUGGUGCCACACGAGGAGUGGGAGCUGCAAAGAUGUGACAAAAUCCCUUUUCCCCACCUUUUUCCCUGAGCUCUCCUACCUCAGGUCCCUCAGCAUCCCCAGGAUUUCCCUGCAGGAGGUUCCUGCCCCUCCCAGGUGCUGCCAGGAGGAGCAGAGCAAAGAAAUGUGGGGUUGGAUCCAGGAGGAAUUUGGGAGUAGCUUCUCCUUCCUCCUGCUAAUUAAGGCCCUGCCACUAAUUAAGGCCCUGCUCAUUAGCAGGGGGCUCAGGGCUGGGGGUGUUUCCUUAGGGGUCACAGCAGGCUUGGUGUCUGAAAUUGAGGAAAACCCCCAAAGCAUCAUUUACAAACAUAUACAAAAUUCCAGGGAUGUUUGCCCUGGAGAGCAACAGGUCCCAGCCAGGCCUGGAUGAGCCAGGCUUUAAAACUGGGAUGGAAAUCCUGUGGAUUUGUCCCAUCUUCCCACGUGUCUGCAUCCUGAGGGUGCUGCAAGGAGCAGAUUUUUGCUCUGAGCACUGAUGGAUAUUUUGAAGUUGAGCUGCAGCUCUGAGUGAUGGCAUUUAGGGUUUAGUCCUGGCUCAAGCACUUCUGUAAAUCCAACCAGAGCUGGCCCAAAACCAGCAGAGCAUUUAAACCAACGUUUUCCUGUGGAUUUCACCCAGGUUUAGAGUGGGCAGGGCUGGGAAUGGAAGGUGAGGAUGAAGCAGCAGGAGGGGAGGAUGUGAUGCAGCAGGAGAGGAACUCCCAGGAAGCAAAGAAGGACGGGAAUUGGUGGCCCAGCAAAGACGAAUCUGAAUUUCCCAAAUUCUGCCAGGGCACUGUUCAUUAUCUCCAUUUCCUUCUUCCAAAGAACACUGCUGGGGGCGAUUUCCAGGAGGGAAUCACUCCAAGCUUUCAGCCGGAAUUGGGGAAUUCUGUGUGCAGGAAGAACAACCCAAAUCAGGGAUUUUUUUUUCCCCUUCUCAGUAAAAGAGCAAAGCUAAAACAAGGCUGGGAAUCAAAGCUGAAGGAAUCCCAGGACUCCCAGAGCUCCAGGCUGAGCACAGACAGCAACAAACACGAGCUCCAACCAGCGAUUCCCACCUCAGGCUGAACUUUGCUGGAGCUGUCUGUGCCAAACUCCUUUUCUCAGAUAUAAAUCCCAACAGAAGUCAGCUAAAAAUUCAUUUCCAAGCAGAGCCAGGCUGGGAAAAAUCCGAAGAGGCACCAGGAUGAAGCCACCAGGGCAAUCCUUGGAAAGGCUUUGUGCUGCUCCUCUGGGAGAACACGUCUCACGGAUUUAAUUCCAACAUGAUCCCCCAUGUUCCAGUCAUUAAUAAAUCCAGGGAAUACCUCAUCCCAUUUCUCUGGGUUAAUUCUGGGAGGUUUGAGCUGCAGGGAUCCAGGGUUUGGAGCUCAUGGCAGAGACAGCACCUGAGUUUUCCUCACGGGAAUUCCCACCUGAGCUCCAGCCCGUCCCCAGGGCUGUGUCUGAGCUGCCCCAGGAGCUUUUCCCAGCCUGGAUUCUCCCAAAAUCCAGCCCAUUAGGAAGUGCAGACCUUGACACACUUCAGGUUCUUUGGAACUUUUCCGUGUGUGGCUCCUCUGGGAUUUUCUGGGAUUUUCCUCAUCCAAUCUGGGUAGCUCUGGCCCUGCAGGCCUGGGGGCCCCAAACUCAUUUAGCAGCGUUAAUUGCAGCCCUAAUGAACAGGGAUCCUGCCCUCACCGGGGUUUGGAGGUCUUUGCUGUCCCAACAGACUCUGGGAUGCAUAUUCCAGACUGGCUCUGGAUCCAGGAGAAGUCUGUAGAGAUGUGGGAUGGAACAGGACAAUCCCUAUCUCUCCCACUGCUCCAAGGCAUCCAACACCAAAUCCAAUGAGAUUCCCGUGUCCUUAUCCAUGCCCUGAACGAGGUGGGAACAGCCACAGGCUCCUCCUCUCCUGGUCUGAACAGCAGGAUCUGACUUUUCCAUGUUUCCCAUUGCAAAUUCCAGUUUGGACAGCAGAACCUGCCCAACUCAAGGGGUUCAAUCCCCAGCUUGGUUGUGUCCAGCUCAGAGAAUCCCAGGAUGGUUUGGGUUGGAAAAGCUCAUCCAGUGCCACCCCCUGCCACGGGCAGGGACAGCUUCCACCAUUCCCGGGUUUCUCCAAGCCCAUCCAGGCCUUGGAUUGAUCUGCCCAGUUCUCCUCCAGCUUCCUACCACACCCAUGGGAUCCACAAACCCACUGCCCACCACGAAUCCAGCAGAAAAUUCCCAAGCAAAAUCCCCAAAUUUCAAGCAAAACCCAAAGCCUACAACAACAGCAUCACCACCACCACCAGGAAAACCAGAAUUCUUCCCAAAAAAAUUCCUCAAAUCCAGCUGCAAGCAGCAGAAACCCCUCAGCACUUUGUGGGAAUUUGCCACUGCUUUUUCCAGCCGUGAGUUAGAUCCCCAAAUCCCCUGUUUCCCACCCAGGAUGUUGCAGUAGCUGUAACACCAAGCUUGGCAUGAUGGAAUCCCUCAAUCCCUGCCAUGACCUGAUGCUUCCCAGCUGGAAUUUUCUGGAUUGUCCCUCUCUGGCUGUGCCAAACAUCUUCCCCAGCGAGGAAAAUAUUUUGCUGUCUCCAGACUGAGUAAAAAUAACCCUCAAUUCCCUUCUCAAUUAGGUGAGGGCUGGAAUGGGAAGUUAACUGGGCCUUUCUUGCCUCAGAUGAUCUGUGGGAAGCAGCUCAGUCCCACAGAAGCACUGGGAAGCACAGCCAGGAUGGGAUAACGGGGCAGCUCAUCCUGAGGGGGCUGCACAGAGAAGAGAAAAAGGGAUUUGGGGGAAAAAAUGGGAAAGGAAAAGCUGGCAAAGGCUGGAAGUUCAUUGGAUGCUCCAGCUCUAAAGCAUGUGGAGGAAUAGAUGAACUUGGAAGGAAAAAAAAAAAACAGGAAAAAAAAAUUUCCAAGGGGGUUGCACAGAGAAGGGGAAAAGGAAUUUGGGGGGGAAAUUGGGAAAGAAAAUCUGGCAAAGUCUGGAAAUUCAUUGGAUGCUCCAGCUCUAAGACAUGUGGAGGAAUCGAUUGAAUUUCAAGGAAAAAGAAAAAACAGAAAGAAAAAACACUCCCAGGGAGGCUGCACAGAGAAAGGAAAAAGGGAUUAUGGAAAAGAAAAAGGUGGCAGAGGCUGAAAUUUCUUUGGAUGUUCCAGCUCUAAAGCAUGUGGAGGAAUAAUUUAACUUGGAAGGGGAAAAAAAAACCAAAACCAAACCAGGAAGAAAAAAACAUUUCCUCGCCGAUUAGAACCCGUUAAUUGCCACGGAGCUAAAUUUGGGAAUUAGCUUUUUGUUUCCCAAGAAACCCUCGGAAAAUAUUGCCAGGGCCAGUCUCAGUGUCCCCUGGGUGGCUCGGUGCCAGCUCUGGAGGUGCCACCCACGCUGCCCGCCGGGCACCCGCCAGGCACCGGCUCUGCCUCGCCUGCCUGUCAGCUCCUCUUUUCCCUCCGGCUGAUGAAUAAUGGGAAUAAAAACCAGGGGAAAAAAGCAGCGUGACAGUCAAUUACUGCCUGUGAUGAGGCACCCCGAGCAGCUCCUGCUCCCCGCGCCGCUGGGCGCUCCCGUUAAACAAACCGGAGCGCGGGGUGGGCGCCGUGUGAACAGGGAAACAAAGGAGCUGCUGAUUUAUCUCCCUGUUUUCCUACCGAAAAUGUUCAUGAAUAUGUUCAUGAGUCCAGCUGGAUUUGUAGGGAAGCCUGGAUUAUGGGAUGUGAGUGUGGAUCCUCUCAGUGGAGGGGCUGUGUGGGAAUCCAGAGCUUCCCUCUGGCUGCCCUGGCAGGUCUGGGACCCUGGCAGGGGUCAGGAACCCCCCUGGACAGAGCCCCCAGAGACACUGGCUGUGAUCUCUGCCCAUGGAAAAGAGUUUUCAAUCUUACAGGAUGAAUUACCAGCUCUGAGUGCUUGAUAUAAGUAAUAAUUAAGUGUGGCACAGGUGCAAAAGUAAAAUUUUAGGAUUCGAGAUGAGGGGUCCAAAGGGGACAAGAUGGAGGAAAUUGGGUGUGUCUUGUCCUUUUUCUCCUUCUUCAUGCCCUCCAUGUUUCACUGUGGUGUUGGCAUUUUUCUGUUGGUUCAGGCUGGGGACACACUGUCCAACGUAGGUGACAGAUAUUGGCACGUUAUUGUAAAUCCAGCACAGGUAGUUUCUGGUAUUUAAUGUUUGUACCAUCCCACUGAGGGCAGAGCCCCACACGCUGCCCUGCAGGACAGAGCUGCGGCAGGGCAGCAGAACAUGUUAGAGAUAAACAGAAUAAACAACAUUGAAACAGCACAGACCAAUUAUGGCUUCUGCUUUGGCAGUGGGGCUGAAAGACAGAGACUUUCUACAAUUUUGGGAUCAUCAAUACCGCAGAUUCUGACAGGGUUGGAUGGUGAGGAUGGCAGCUCUGGUGCAAUCUUCCUGUCGUUCUCUGCCUCUGCUUCUCUUUCUUUCACAGAGGCUCAAUUAAUUUUGGAAUACUUCCAGUUCUUGUAGUUUUUCAUUAAGAUCCUUUGAACGACCCAAGGGCCACCCAAAAGGGCAGGAAAUGGGACAGCACCUCGGGAUGAACCCCAAAUGAGGAUUUUUGGCAAAGCAGCGCUUGGGCCCGGUGAUUUGGGUUUGUUGGAAUGGGAUUUUGUGGGAUAUUGGGACAAAUUUGGCUGGAGAGGCUGUGGCUGCUCUGUCCAUGGAAUGUCCAAGGCCAGGCUGGAGCAGCCUGGGACAGUGGGAGGUGUCCCUGCCCUGGCACCGGAUGAUUUUUAAGGUCCCUCCCAACCCAAACCACUCCGGGGUUCUCUGAAGGCCUCGAAAUCCCCUGACAACAAAACAGAUAAAAGCCCAGACUCCAAACCCCUCCCUGCACUGGAUUUUUGGGAUUUCUCUAAUCCAGCUGAGGCGUGACUCAAGUGGGAAUUCCUGCUUCCCCGCUUCCAGCCCUGCUCCUGGAUGGAUGAGGCAGCCAAAUGUUCCCAUCUGGGGUUUUCCACCCUGGCACCAUCCCACCCUGCUGAGUGAGAGCCACAGCCUGGCAUCAGCUCAGCAAAAACAUUCCCGACUUCCCGAGGUCUGGGGAGCUGGGAAGGAUUCCUGGGAAUGCUGAGAGGAGCAUCCCUCCCCUCCCCAGCAACCCCACAGAGGCAGAGCUGCCUCCAAUCCCCGUUAUCCCUCCAAAUCUCCAUUAUCCCAUGCAAAUUCCUGUUGCAGCUCCACCA
rnacentral:lncRNA from 1 species